rnacentral:rRNA from 1 species
GGCCGCAGUAUAUUAACUGUGCAAAGGUAGCAUAAUCAUUAGUUUUUUAAUUGAAAGCUUGUAUGAAAGGUUGGACGAGGUAAAUUCUGUCUCUAACUAAAUUAAAUUAGAAUUUAAUUUUUAAGUUAAAAAGCUUAAAUUUAUAUAAAAGACGAGAAGACCCUAUAGAGCUUUAUAAUUUAUUAAAUAGGGUUAAUUUAGUUUCAUUAGUACUUUUUUUUGUAAAUUAUUUUAUUGGGGUAAUAGAAAGAUUUAAAUAAUUCUUUUUUUUUAUAAACAUAAAUUUAUGAAUUUAAUGAUCCAGUUUUAUUGAUUAAAAGAUUAAGUUACCUUAGGGAUAACAGCGUAAUUUUUUUAGAGAGUUCAUAUCGAUAAAAAAGUUUGCGACCUCGAUGUUGGAUUAAAGAUUAUUUUAGGUGCAGAAGCUUGAAAAUUUUGGUCUGUUCGACCAUUAAAUCUUUACAUGAUCUGAGUUCAGACCGGUGUAAGCCAGGUCGGUUUCUAUCUUUAUUUAAUUAUGAUAUUUUAGUACGAAAGGACCAAAUAUUAAAUAUAUUUAUAUUUUAAUUUAGAAUAUUAUUAAUAUAGAUUAUUUUGGCAGAUUAGUGCAAUGAAUUUAGAAUUCAUUUAUGUAAAUUUUUACAAAUAAUAUUGUUUUAUAUGGAUGUAAUGUUUUCAAUUAUUUGCAUAUUAUUAUUAGUUAUUUGUGUAUUGGUAGGAGUCGCUUUUUUAACGUUGUUGGAGCGGAAAG